rnacentral:misc_RNA from 1 species
CUGAACCUGAUCAUUUUGUCAAGGUUCAGGCAAACUACUAUUUCUGUUAGGGUGUUCCAAACAUUGUCUAUUUGGUCUAAAUUACAUGCACAACAUAGACACGCGUUACACAAGGAUGCAUGCAAGUUAACCUAUGAACAACCAUGAAGAAGUUAGAUAAAUACAUUCUAUGGUGUUACCCUCUUGUGUUUUAUGUUCCUUUUGCUUCCUUCCAAUUGCUAGGUCAAAGUGCCUCUGAGAAACGUAAAUCUGCUGGCCCAGGACCCAAAAUCCCCUUCUGUUCACUUAUCUUGCCCAGUCCAAGAGGUGGUGGUGGUGGUGGUGGUGGUGGUGGUGGCGCCUCUGUGGUCUUUUCAUCGUCUCUCCAUACAGUUGCCUGCCAGUCUCUCUCAUCAUGAUUGAAACUAUCGUCCUGCAAUAGUGGGGUUGCAAGAGGUGGGGCAACAUCUGGGUCUGGCUUCUGAAAUAUAAAUGUUGUAUAUAGACCUAGCACGUCAAAUGACCGAGGAAGAAGUCUUCCCCUCGGAUCCACUAGGUUUGGACCAGCAUUCAAUAGCAUGCUUGCAAAAUGCAUUCUGUUAUCAUCAUAGAACUCUGUCAAAUUUUGAAUCUCCACAUACUCCAAACCAGCUUCCCGGGCCAACCUGAUCAAGCUAGGAAAAUGAACCAAGCAAUGAGUUUCAGCAGGGUCAUGCGCAAAUUUUAACUGGUAUUUCUUUCCAAAUAAUGGAAACUUCUCUUCCUCAACUUCGAAGGUUAUCAUAUAGCUCUCUGACCGAAUACAAUUGGGAACUAUAUUUGGCUUCAUGCUGCCACUUCUGUUGUGGUAUGCUUCAACAUUCUUCUGGUACUUUGCCCAUAUGGUAGAUGAGUCAGGAGUAAUACCGAAAAAAUAACCCCCUGGUUUAAGCAAAGAUGACACAUUAUGUAGAAGUUUCCUUGCAUUUUCCUCAUUUUCAAAACACAACUGCAAAUUCUGUAAGCAGCAUACUAAAUCAGCCUGGUUGGCCUUCUCCUGUAGCUGCAAUCCAAAAUUUUCUGUGCAAGGAUCAGCCUCAAAGAACUCAGCAGUGUAAAUUUUCCUCUGACUUUCCCAUGCUUCCCUCAUCUCACUUACUCCAGAUGAUGAUACAUCAAUUCCAAUAUAAUGGCCAAUUUGAGCACCAUCCCAUUUCUCUGCGUCCACUCCUCCUCCUCCACAAUACAAAUCGCACACAGUGGCGUAGGGAUGGACAAAUAUCUUGAUAAGUGCCAAUUUGGCAAACUCAUAGAGGCGAUGGUGAGUCGACUCGGUCCUAGGAAUCGCAAAUGAACUCAUCCUCUCCGGACGCAUUCGAACUCA